AUCCUUUAACGGACACCUUUUUUUCUCUCUCCUUCUGAAACAGUGCUUCUUUGAAAAGAAAAAAAAACCCCAAAAGUUUUUCUACUCUUCCAUCAUGGAAGAGUAAUCCCUAGGCAAACCUUUGGGUGAUUAGUGGGUCACGAGCUAUGAGGAGCGGAUUUGAAGGUUUGAUUAACAUAGAUGUGAUGCAUUUUUAGGUUUUCUCUAAAUUAAUUCUACCUUGUUUGGAUUUUGGUUGAAUCUCACUUCUCCUUUCUAGGUUGUUGCGGGUAUCGUUGUGUUAAAUACAAGAACAACAAGGGAAAUGAGUUUCUUUCUUUCAAAUCUCUUUUUGUUCCGAUCUGUUUUUGAAUUGCUUUGAUGUUUUGUUCUCUCAAAUUUCUUGUCGCCCUCUUAGGUUGUUGGUUGGUAUCGUUGUUCUAGAUACAUCAACAAUGGGGGUUUUGAAGUUUGCAUCUUUCGUUAUCCUGAUAUCCUCUAGUUUGCAAUUUUAUUUGGUGUGUCCCGGAACUAGAUCGUUUAAUAAUGGUUGGGUCUGUGGAUUUGUGAUUCGCCCAUCCGUUUGUAUUUUCCAGUAUUCCUUUGUUGUUUGGUUUGGUUAAGCCUUUGUCUUAUCUCAUUAGUCUUCUGUUAUUGUCCAUCUAUUGCUUAAUCUUGGAUUUUGAUCCAAGUGAAUGAUUCUUAGUAAAUUUGUUGUACCCCAACGACGAUUGGGUUUGUGAUCUUGUGCUUGACAGUUCAAUUAUCUUGUCUUUGCUUCCAUAUGUUGAAUUGGUUAGGUUUAUUGCCCAUAUUAGUAGUGUCUUUAAACUGUUUGAUGAUAGUCCCGAACUAGAAGUUGUUGCUGUUUGACCUGCAUCCCAAUGAUUAAUUGGGUUCUCCUAUUUUUCCGAUAUUCCUUGUUGGCUGUCCCUUGCCUUUUAGGAAUUCGAUCUUCAAAUUUAAAAACCAAUAUAAAUCCUUUUUUGACUCAUUUUUCUUACCUCUGUGUUGUCGAGUUCUAGGGCCUUUGUUCUUUAAAAAUUAUUAAUCGGAAACCUGGAGAGGUUGGUAAUCUUCAGUAUUUUUAGUUUUAAUAAACUCAGUUCAAGUGUAUGUACACUCGUUCAAUUUUUAAAAGAAAAAUCUUUAAAACUGUUUAAUUCCUUUUGGUGUGUUUUAUGAAACAAGAGUAUGUGCUCUUGUUUAAAAGAAGAAACCAUGUCUAGGAUGGUUAUGGGGCUUGAGGAGACCUCAGAAGGAUGGUUUGGUAACCUAUAAAUGGUGAUCCUUGGCUCUCUCCCUGUAGGCUCGUUUUUUUUUUCUUUUUUUGGUUGUUUGUUUAAUUUAGAUAUGGUUGGAUUAUAUGUCAAAAGAGUUGAGGGAGGCUAAAUAGGGAUUUUAGGUGUUUAAAGGUUACAUGGAUGAUUAUUUAAAAGUUAGUGGAGUGUAUUUGGUCAUCUUAGCUCCGUUAAUUGUUGGUGUUAUUGGUUCAUAACUUAACAUCUUUGUUUUAGGCUACUGUAAAUGUAAGUGUAUUCCCUUCUAAAUUCUUAUGCUUUUAGUUUCAAAUGCAAUUUUGUCUUUUCGCUUGUUUGAUCUUUUGUUAAAAGUCUAUAAUGAUUAGUUUAUUUUUAUUUUGAGGAAAAAUUAGUUGAAUAAUUUCAUCACAUUCUUGGCUGCCAUAAACCUCACAUCUAAACCUCCGCUCCUUUGACCCGAUAAAACCCAAAGGUAAGCCGAUCUCUUUCUUUGAUUUCAAUCCUUCUAGUAUAUAUUCUUGUUUUUAAUCUCUUCACUUCGUGAAAUCCUAGUUCUCCUCUUAGAUUUCUAUUCUUGUUUUUAAUCUCCUCACUUCGUGAAAUCCUAGUUCUCCUCUUAGAUUUCUUAUUCGGUUUGUGGAGUUAUUAAGAAAUCUGGACCUUGUCUUUGGCCUCCUACUUAGUAAGUACUCAAGUUAUCAUUUUUCUGUCUUCAUUAAAGGUACUGCUGAUUUCACCUUUCCUUCCUUUGUUUCUUUUAGAAGAAACUCCAGGGACAUUCAAAGCAGCAGCAAUGGGAUGCAGCAGGACCUUCUCAUCAGAAGAGGCAGAAGCUGUAGCUCUCCUCAAUGCAACUCAAUGGGCAGUCACAAACAACAUACAACAAUUGGUGAUUGAAAGAGACAACCAGGCAACAAUCAAGUAUCUUCAAGGGAGAGAAUCAACAGUCCAAUGGCAAUGUAUAGCCAUCUUAGAUGAAGUUAAAUUAUUAGCUAAGAAUUUAGUCUCUUUUCUAGGUUUUCAGUGUGUAGAUAGGAGAGCUAACAAGGUGGCAGACUUGUUAGCAAAGAAGUGAAGAAGUUCUGAUAAUACAACUUCCUGGAAUGAAGAAUCUCCUAACUUUUUAAUUCCUUCAAUUGCUUUUGACAUUGUCAAAGCAUAUGAAUCCUGUAACUUAAACAACUUUCUCCCUGUAACUGCUAUUGCUGAUGUUAAUCUUAGAAAUUCAGCCAUUGGAAGAGUCAUUCCUCAUGAAAUGGUCUCUGAAGAGCCUGAAUCCGCAGAUUAACGGAUGCCUUUCAAUAUAAGUUAUUUUCAAAAAAAA